UACGAACUGUGCGAACGUUAUUCGGAAUCACUGGGCUUAAAGGGUGCGUAGGCGGCUGCACAAGUCGGGUGUGAAAUCCUCCGGCCUAACCGGGGAAUUGCGUCCGAAACUAGGCAGCUUGAGUGCGCUAGGGGUGUGUGGAACUUCCGGUGGAGCGGUGAAAUGUGUUGAUAUCGGAAGGAACGCCGGUGGCGAAAGCGACACACUGGGGCGCAACUGACGCUGAGGCACGAAAGCCAGGGGAGCGAACGGG
rnacentral:misc_RNA from 1 species